UAGCUCAGAGGGUAAGCCUCUGGGCUGCAACUCCAGGGACCGGGGUUCGAUUCCCGGCCAGACCUG